AGAGUACGUGAAACCGUUCAGGGGUAAACCUGAGAAACCCGAAAGGUCGAAAGGGGAAAUUCAUUCGCGUGUCGACGCGCGGCGAGGGUCGGAUCGGGCGACGGUCGGCGUACGCGCCGUUCCGCGCCUUCCUUUCUUCGAACCGUCGUCGAACGCGUGCACUUUUCCCCUAGUAGGACGUCGCGAUCCGUUGGGCGUCGGUCUAAGGCCCGCGGCGGAGCCCGCGCGGACGUUUCGGCGUUCCGCUCGGACCCGCGGUGUCCCGGCCGACUCGCUCGACGGUAUACACAGAUGGCGCGGGGCCGCUACAAAUACACACAGUUAGCGUUCGGCCCGCGGCAAGCGCGUUCGGAUUUUUACGAGACGGCGAUCGGACCUGGUGCCGGUUCUGUCCACGAACGACUGUUGGCCGCGGUGUUCUCGAACAGACCUCGAUCUUUGAAACGCCGAUCUGCGACGCUAUAGCUUUGGGUACUUUCAGGACCCGUCUUGAAACACGGACCAAGGAGUCUAGCAUGUGCGCGAGUCAUUGGGACACGACUAAACCUAAAGGCGUAAUGAAAGUGAAGGUCCGCCUUUAGCGCGGACCGAGGGAGGAUGGGCGGCCGCGCCUCAUAAGUGCGCCGCCUCGCACUCCCGGGGCGUCUCGUUCUCAUCGCGAGAAGA
rnacentral:rRNA from 1 species